rnacentral:rRNA from 1 species
CAGCAGCCGCGGUAAUUCGAAGGGGGCUAGCGUUGUUCGGAAUUACUGGGCGUAAAGGGCGCGUAGGCGGCGCGUUAAGUCAGAUGUGAAAGCCCUGGGCUCAACCCAGGAAUUGCAUUUGAUACUGACGUGCUUGAAUCCGGAAGAGGAUGACGGAAUUCCCAGUGUAGAGGUGAAAUUCAUUGAUAUUGGGAAGAACACCAGUGGCGAAGGCGGUCAUCUGGUCCGGUAUUGACGCUGAGGCGCGAAAGCGUGGGGAGCAAACAGGAUUAGAUACCCUGGUAGUCCACGCCGUAAACGAUGAGUGCUAGACGUCGGGGGGUUGCCUCUCGGUGUCGCCGCUAACGCAUUAAGCACUCCGCCUGGGGAGUACGGCCGCAAGGUUAAAACUUAAAGGAAUUGACGG